CAGACUGCAUUCGCAUGUACAGACCAGGCGCCGUUGUCAAGUUCGGAGGGAAAAAAUGAUGCAGCAUGAAGCUAUUUCAAUCGAGGCAACAGAACUGACACACAGUACAUCAGUGAUCGAUAUUAAAGUUCACUAACCAAGAAUAGAACAGAUACGAAUACUAAUUCAUCGAUAUGGAUACGACUGCGGUAAACUGCAACUAUUUUACUCAACUAUUCUUCUUCUUCGAUGAUCUCCUCACAGCUAGUUCCUUCCUAUUAUUCUUCUGAAGACUGAUAGAACUGAAGAAUAUGUCACUAACAAAACUGAAUCUCGCACAGACUAUAUUCCUGAUUGUUGGAUUGAAAAAAUUUGCGCAAGAAUCCCAAUCAAUUGGAACCCUACACACAUCUCAAUCAAUCAAUCAAUCAAUCAAUCAAUCUCAUGAACUCACCCUCCACCGUGCAACAACAACCCUAGAUGAUCGCAAUCGAAUCUUGUGGACAAAUUGGUACUGCAGGGUACCCAUUGCUGACCUUAAUCCGUUCCCAGUUCAUGAUCCAC
rnacentral:lncRNA from 1 species